rnacentral:rRNA from 1 species
AGAGUUUGAUCCUGGCUCAGGAUGAACGCUGGCGGUAUGCUUAACACAUGCAAGUCGAACGGAUGUUUUCGGACAUUAGUGGCGGACGGGUGAGUAACGCGUGAGAAUCUAGCUUCAGGUUGGGGACAACAGUUGGAAACGACUGCUAAUACCGAAUAUGCCGAGAGGUGAAAGAUUAAUUGCCUGAAGAAGAGCUCGCGUCUGAUUAGCUAGUUGGUGGGGUAAGAGCUUACCAAGGCGACGAUCGGUAGCUGGUCUGAGAGGACGAUCAGCCACACUGGGACUGAGACACGGCCCAGACUCCUACGGGAGGCAGCAGUGGGGAAUUUUCCGCAAUGGGCGAAAGCCUGACGGAGCAAUACCGCGUGAGGGAAGAAGGCUCUUGGGUUGUAAACCUCUUUUCUUAGGGAAGAAAAAAAUGACGGUACCUAAGGAAUAAGCAUCGGCUAACUCCGUGCCAGCAGCCGCGGUAAUACGGAGGAUGCAAGCGUUAUCCGGAAUGAUUGGGCGUAAAGCGUCCGCAGGUGGCAAGUCAAGUUUGCGGUUAAAGGUUCUGGCUCAACCAGAGACAGGCCGUGAAAACUGACUAGCUAGAGUAUGGUAGGGGCAGAGGGAAUUCCCAGUGUAGCGGUGAAAUGCGUAGAGAUUGGGAAGAACACCGGUGGCGAAAGCGCUCUGCUAGGCCAAAACUGACACUGAGGGACGAAAGCUAGGGGAGCGAAUGGGAUUAGAUACCCCCGUAGUCC